rnacentral:rRNA from 1 species
UAAGGAAUAUUGCGCAAUGGGGGAAACCCUGACGCAGCAACGCCGCGUGGAGGAUGACACUUUUCGGAGCGUAAACUCCUUUUAUCAGGAAAGAAUAAUGACGGUACCCGAUGAAUAAGCACCGGCUAACUCCGUGCCAGCAGCCGCGGUAAUACGGGGGGUGCAAGCGUUACUCGGAAUCACUGGGCGUAAAGGACGCGUAGGCGGAUUAUCAAGUCUUUUGUGAAAUCUAGUGGCUUAACCACUAAACUGCUUAGGAAACUGAUAGUCUAGAGUAGGGGAGAGGUAGAUGGAAUUCUUGGUGUAGGGGUAAAAUCCGUAGAGAUCAAGAAGAAUACCCAUUGCGAAAGCGAUCUGCUGGAACCUAACUGACGCUGAGGCGUGAAAGCGUGGGUAGCAAACAGG